UUAAACUUGAGAGUUUGAUCCUGGCUCAGAACGAACGCUGGCGGCAGGCUUAACACAUGCAAGUCGAACGCGUGUAGCAAUACACGAGUGGCGCACGGGUGAGUAACGCGUGGAUAU
rnacentral:rRNA from 1 species